GCGGUUGUAGCUCAGUUGGUUAGAGUAGGCGUUUGUGGUGCGCUUGGUCGUGGGUUCGAGUCCCAUCAUCCGCC
rnacentral:tRNA from 3 species